CCUCUUCUCUUACCACAGCCGUCUUCACCCUUCCUCUGGUCGUGCAGGGUCACCCCUUCAGCUACUGGCACCGUAGUGGCAGGAAGCUGGAAGAGGGACUUGGACGGGUGACCCUUCAGCUGGCGGGAUACAGGGGAGCGAGGCUGCCCUGG